ensembl:lincRNA 4930584F24Rik RIKEN cDNA 4930584F24 gene
AGAAGGGCUGGGAUUCACAGCAAGCUCAUGUGUCUAGGAUGAUGACGUUCCUUCCAGGAAGAGAACUGGAUGUGAUAUUGUUCCCAAGGAAUGAGCCAAGAGAAGCUAUGAGGUACUUUACCUAAGUACCAGUCCGAAAGACACCUGUGUGCCUAGACACCAUUGAGCUUUCCCAAAUAGAAUGAGUGGUGGCCUCUGUGACCCCACAUGAGGGGUCACUGUCAUGAUUAUGGGCAUACCCAGUUCUGAAGGCAGCAGAGACCAUUGCAGUGGGCUAGGUUUCAAAACUAGGAGAGUCAGCAGGGAUUCUUUUAAGGAUGAACCAAGCAAGUCUCCAAAAGACACAAGGAUGUAUCCUGAAAACAAAAGUCCCAGGCAAAACGUUCAAACACAAAGAUUCUGGCAUCAGGAACUUCUUGAGUUGCUAUUUAUGGAAGUUCAAGAGGUUCCCCCAAACAAUAUAAGUGACCUUGGAAACCAUAUACUUCUGCUGUUGGCUGUCCCGUUCAGCCUGUCCUCUUCACUGUGCAGGAACCAUCCAAGGGACUGCAUGCCAAGGACUGGGGAAUCACUACAAGUCAUUUGAAGAUUCACUACCUUUUCUGAAGCUUGGAAGGAAAAACAUAAUGAAUAAGCCCACGAUGAUUUGGUGCUUUUAAUGUUUUUUUUUGUUUGUUUGUUUGCUUGUUUGUCUUUUCAAUCCUUCAUGUUGUGUUGACUUAUCCCAAGGCAUCAUUAUCAACCAAAGACCUGCAAUAAACCAGCCAUUCUC